rnacentral:lncRNA from 1 species
AUGCUCAGGGCUCUGUGCUAUUCGGGGUCUGCAGUGCUUGAGGGUCUGUGUUCUUUGGGGAUCCGUGUUGCUCCCGGCUCUGGAUUUUGCCUCUUCCCUGCCAUCCCCGCUCCCCCCUUCCUGCUGCAGUCCCCGUUCCCUUUCCUCCAGCUCCCCUUUCCCUCCUCCAGACGCUCCCGACGCUCCCAGCGAUGUCACCUCCCGGCGGGAUCAUCCCCGGCUCUGAUCCUGGACCCCUCCUCUCCCUGCUCCUCCCGGACCUGCCGCUCCCAGCCCUCCGUGUCUCCAGCACCGCCUCCUUUCCCGACCGUCCUGCUUUCCCUGGGAUCUGCUCCUCAUGUCCCCACGGAAGGGGACAGGAUUCCGUCCGUGGGGACGCGGCGAGGGGUGACAAGGACACAAAUCCGAAAGCCGGACGCUCACCCGCGCGGGCAUCCCGGUGGAAUGAGGGCGGGAAUAGGGACAGAACAGGGGGUUUGGUGGCACCAGCGUGGUUUGUUGUCACCGCGCUGUGGCAGACGGAGCUGUCGGGGUCCCCGCCCCCUCUUGGCUUUGCUGUCCGGGCAGGAGGAUGUGUUAUCAUGGAUAUUUAACUCCCGCUGUAAUAAAAUCCCGCCGAUCCCGCCCUGCGCCUCCUCUCCGUGCUGGCUGCGGGAGCACCCAAAGCCCGGCCCGGCUCCGGCUCGACUCCCGGUGCCCGGGGACCUGGGGGCUGCACCGGCCCCGCUUCCCGGUGCUGUAGGACACAAGGAGGAGGCGCGGGGCUGGGGACACCCCCAGCUCCGAGCCCUGGCCACACUGUCCCCCCCCCACUCCACCAAGUUUUUGGGUAAGUCACGGUGUUUGGUCACCUGUCCCAGGGCACGCUGGCACUGUCACCUCCCUGUGCCACAGAGAACCAGCUCACACCUGCCCUGCACCCUCCCCAGCCCCCGUCCUUGUCCUUUACCCUGUCUCUGCCCUUUCUCCCCACUGCCCAGCCCAUAUCCUUGUUGUCCCCCACCCCAUUUCUUGCCGUCCUCCCCAGCUCCAUCCUUAUCCCCUGUCCCCCUCCCCAGCCCGUUCCCUGUCCCUGUCCCUUCCCCAGCCGUGUCCCUGCCUCACAUUCCCUGUCUCCCCGAGCAGAAGAAGAUCAUGAUCAUGUUGUGCUGCAUCAUCCUCGCCAUCAUCCUGGCAUCCAGCAUCGGGAGCAUCUUCGCCUGA